AAGCAACACAGAAACACAUGGCAACGGCAGAGCUCGAAAGACAUGGCAUGACAUCAGAGAAAAACAAAAACCCCACAAGGGUUAAAAAGGGGUCUGUAGCCAGCAAGGCAGGACGGGAGUCAUGACAGAACAUCCAGUCCAAUAAACUGUGGAAAAUCUCUCCCUUCACAGCAGAAGCUGACUGAAAGAUUUUAGUUGUUUUUCAAACGUCUCGUCAACAGAAAGAUGCUCUGGAGGUUAUCUCACUCUGAGAUGAACCUGGCAGGUAUUAAACACUACAUACAGAUAUUAAACACUACAUACAGAUAUUAAACACUACAUACAGGUAUUAAACACUACAUACAGAUAUUAAACACUACAUACAGAUAUUAAACACUACAUACAGGUAUUAAACACUACAUACAGGUAUUAAACACUCCAUACAGGUAUUAAACACUCCAUACAGGUAUUAAACACUACAUACAGGUAUUAAACACUCCAUACAGGUAUUAAACACUCCAUACAGGUAUUAAACACUACAUACAGAUAUUAAACACUCCAUACAGGUAUUAAACACUCCAUACAGGUAUUAAACACUCCAUACAGGUAUUAAACACUACAUACAGAUAUUAAACACUCCAUACAGGUAUUAAACACUCCAUACAGAUAUUAAACACUACAUACAGAUAUUAAACACUCCAUACAGGUAUUAAACACUCCAUACAGGUAUUAAACACUCCAUACAGAUAUUAAACACUCCAUACAGGUAUUAAACACUCCAUACAGAUAUUAAACACUGCAUACAGAUAUUAAACACUCCAUACAGAUAUUAAACACUACAUACAGGUAUUAAACACUCCAUACAGGUAUUAAACACUACAUACAGAUAUUAAACACUACAUACAGAUAUUAAACACUACAUACAGGUAUUAAACACUACAUACAGAUAUUAAACACUACAUACAGGUAUUAAACACUCCAUACAGGUAUUAAACACUACAUACAGAUAUUAAACACUACAUACAGAUAUUAAACACUACAUACAGGUAUUAAACACUCCAUACAGAUAUUAAACACUACAUACAGGUAUUAAACACUACAUACAGGUAUUAAACACUACAUACAGGUAUUAAACAGUGCAUGAGCGUGUGAAUUCAGAGCUCUGAGCAGAGAAUCGCUGGUAAACGGCAGCAUGUUUGCUCAGGAAACCUCGUCUACAGGUCCAUAACAGCAGAACCGAAGUGUGGAAGUCCUUCCAGAAGUGGAGAUCUCAAUAAAUGUCUGACAGAGAUAAUAAAAAGGAAUGACUGAUGAGCUGCUCACAGAGGAGCAGUUUGUUCAGAGACUUCACACCGUUAAAUGGAACGAGUCCCUGAAGAUGCUGCUUUCAUCUACGAUCUGCCUCGAGCAGCUGAGAUCUUUCUGUCUUCUAUUUCUGGUGUGUUUCUUUGUACUUAUAGGACUUAUAAAUCUUUUCCUGGGGGAUUCUUCCAUCUGUCAGACCCUGAAUCUGUUCAUCACUCAGCUUUAUUAAUAGAAGGAAUGUUUAUAAUUGUGGUUUAUUCAGAAAACACAACUUUAUGAAUGAAAAUUUAAAGUGUUGCAGCUCUAUGAUGACAGCACAGCCAAAAAAUCUCUUUUCUGGAUGAUUACAUAAAUAGAAUUCCAUAAAUUAAUAAGAAGGAGACAACUCAAGAUUUAUUAUACAGAAAUGGACUUUUUUUCCAAACUUUUCCAGGUCCUGUGUGUGUUAUCAGUGGUAAAAAUAAAACUGCAGCUCUACAUCCUGUGGGUUCUUUACUGCUUCUCUUUUUUAUUUUAUGUUCUGUUUAAACACUGCCUGCAGUUCAGCUGAAACAUUCUGGAAGUUUUGUCAGGUGACUGCUGGAGGCAGUUUAGUCAAUCAGGCAGCCUGUCCUCAAACAAAAAGACCACAUAGGUCGUCUGUACACGCCCAUAUUACGACCGAGUGUUACAUUUUGAAGUUAAACGACCUCUAGCGGGUGAGUAAAUAUCGACACUCCGGUGUCGCAGGUGAAAUGUCACCAUGAACAAACUUUUAUCUAACACUAUCCCUGUCCCUAACCCUAACCCUAAACCCGUGUUGCGAAAGUGAGGAAAAAGCCGUUUCGCGAGGGAAAAGCCAUUUCAGGAAUUAAAUCCCGUAAUGCGUUCCAUUUCCCCGUAGGGGCGCAAACGUGAAUACGCUCUCAUGGGUCGUAUUCCGGGGCACGUUACAUGCGACCUGUGUGGUCGUAUGAAUUUGAGGACUUGUUGCAAUCAGGACUUCCUGGUUGCAGCAUGAAGCUCUGAAAUUUUAGCUUUUUAAAGAAUCUUGUGAGAAUAAUACAUUUUAUAUUUAGGGAUGCUUUAACAGAGACAUUAGACAUUCGGUGAUUCUGAUCCCACUUUCAGGAUUUGACAAGUUUUCUUUUGUAAUGGCACUUCAAGGACCAUCAGAAGGUUGAAAAUCCGACACUUCCUGCCAUUCUUACAGUUUCUGGCUCUAAUAAAUGGUGUAAUUUUAGAGUUUUUUAAACGAUAACAUGUCUUUUGAACCCACCAGUAGUUUUGGGCUUCAGUUGGGUUAAAAAAUUAAACUUUAACAGCAAAACCUAAAACUUAAAGCUGACAAACAGAAUCUGGGUUCAGUCGUGACUCAGAUGGUAGAUUGGGUUGUUUCUGAAAUCAUGGUUGGCAGUUUAAUUCCCAAUAAAAUGUUCAAAACACUGAAGCUCAGUCAGUAGUGUUAAAGUGCAGAACUUUUAACAUUAGUUAAGGACUGAUAAAUGCAGUAUUUCUUCCUCUAUGUAAAACAAACAUUAAUACAACUUAAUUUUUCAGACGGCAGCAGAAUUAGAGGAAAUUGAAGCAACGUGAACGGUACCAAAGAGCUGGAGUUGUUUUUCAGAUUAAUUUGCUGUGUGUCAGUGGAGCGUUAUUUUAUCAGCAGCCAGCAGAGGAAUAUUAAUCAUGGACAGUUAGCGGUUAGCGCUUAGCUGAAAGCCUGAUGCUCCAAUCACAUUAGUCCUCUCAUUAAGGCUCUGGAAAAUGAUAGAAGUUUGAUAUUUAAUUAGAUGAGUGCUUCAAGUUCUCUAAACUCAUCAGUCCAAUGAAAAACAGUUUCCUUUUAGUCUGAGUGGAUUUAAAUUAAGGUUUUUGCCUGGGAAAUGUAAUGCUUGAGUUUUAUCAGACACUAAGUAGUCCUCUCUGUAUCAGAACCAUAUAAAACAUCAUAAAACAUCUAUAACAUGUCACAUAAAUCCAUAUUAUAGUACUGAGGAUGGAAGCUGAAACAACUGGUUUAUUAAACAUUCAGUACUUGAUUCAUGCAGGUUAUUUAUGAUGCUAAAACCCAAAUAUUUUCUGUAAUCAGACAAGAUAAAUGUUUCUGUUUCAUAUCAUUAACAUGUGAAUUUGUUAAUGUUUAAAUUGUAUUCUGCUAAAGAUGAACAUAUCAUGAACAUGACAUCUCCUGGUUCUACUAUAAAACAUUAUGAUAACUGUUGUAUCAUAAAUACAGUAUUGUUCAGAAGUUUAGGGUCACUCCCUCUUUUAUCCAUGUGCUAACAUAACAAGGGUUUUCUAACCAUCAAUGAGCCUUUCAACACCAUUAGCUAACACAAUGUAGCAUUAGAACACAGGAGUGAUGGUUGCUGGAAAUGUUCCUCUGUACCCCUAUGGAGAUAUUCCAUUAAAAAUCAGCCGUUUACAGCUACAAUAGUCAUUUACCACAUUAACUAUGUCUACACUGGAUUUAUCAUUCAUUUAAUGCUAUCUUCAUUGAACAAAACUGCUUUUCUUUCAACAAUAAGGACAUUUCAAAGUGACCCCAAAGUUUAGUGUAUCAGUCAAAUCAAAAUUGCAUUUCCAUUCAUUAGAGUUUGACCCGUUAGCUGUAUAAACUAUAAACCAUUUACUAACCCUUCAGCUCUUUGUGUCGCUGGUUUUAAAUCCUCUUUGCUUUAGGAAACAGCAGCAGUCUCAGAGCAGCAGCUUACACGCUGAAAAUGGAAAGAUUUACCAACGAUUUGGAUUAUUUUCUGUGAAUUACCCAUUUAUAAUGACAGCGUUCUUCCCUGUUACUAUUUUCUGGACCACCAGCACUACAUCCUGGGCUCAGCUCCUCCAGGAUCAUAGGAUUGGUUCAAGCUUCUCUUUUUUACUCCUCACUGUGGGUUCAUUUUUCACUGGGACUAGAAGCAGAGGGAAUUUUCAACUGUCUUUACUGUGACAUGACAAAGUUAUAAUGAAGGAGAAAAGAAGAAAAAAGUUUAAUUUCUUUGUGUUUUUAUUAUUAUUUUUAAUGAGAACAUCUGUGCACCAUUUUCCAUCUGCCCACAGGCGUUACUGAGACUGUAAUUAUUUGUAUUAUCAUGUAUUGGAUCCUUCAGGUCACGGGAGAAUACCGUGUUAGUUCAAUGAUCUGCUCAUCUGUAGGCAUGAAAAGCACACGUAUACAUGAGUGAUCCAUAAUUCAUCAGCUCUCAUCAGGUAGGGUCAUUUACAAUUUUAAUUUAGCCUCUAUUUUAUGUUUUAAUUCAGCCCAGCAGCCAGUCAGCACACUGAGGAGCAGAUAGAGUUAGUUAUGGCAGUGAUUUUCCAGGUUUAGUUUAAAUACUGGGAAACAGUUUGCUGUUGACCUACAGCCUCUGAUUUAACAGCUCAGAUUUCUUUACUUCUUUUCUGGAGAAAACCUGUUUUAUGGCUGAAAACGUGACGUUGAAUCCUCCAUUGGGUUAAUUACAGCCACUAGAACUGGCCUGCAGGGUUAUGCAACAAGGUUUUCCAGGUUUUCAUUAGAACAUUUCCUGCUGACUUUUUAAAUUAUUUACAAGAAAAAACUGAAAGAAGUCAUUGAUCUGAGGACUGGUUUCUGCUGGAUGCAGGUCUUCCAGUGUUUCUGUGGUAAAGUGUGAAUGUUUGCAGUGAGUUUAAUGGAGAGAGUUAGUUAAAGACGUGGGUUUAGCCGGGUGUGAAAUCAUUGAUCUGUGGUCAUAGUAAUGAGAGGAGGAUUGAUCUUCACAGAGCUCACUGUGAUUGAAUAUCGAUCGCCUGAAAGCAGAAAAAAAUCUAAAGAGUGAAGAGGCUCUGGAACAUACAGGACAUAUAAAUACAGACAGAUUGUACAGAGUUGAGGGUGGUAUUGGUAGUGUUGUUGGUAU